GUCUACCGCCAUACCACCCUGAAUGCACCCAAUCUCGUCUGAUCUCGGAAGCUAAGCAGGGUCGGGCCUGGUUAGUACUUAGAUGGGAGUUUGGUUUUAUUUUUCUAUUUCCUAAUGUGGAAGCUGAGGUCAUUGAUU
rnacentral:rRNA from 1 species